UACCAGCACCCCGAGUGGUCGGGACGUUUUAUUGGGCCUAAAGCAUCCGUAGCCGGUUCUACAAGUCUUCCUUAAAUCCACCUGCUUAACAGAUGGGCUGCGGAAGAUACUAUAGAGCUAGGAGGCGGGAGAGGCAAGCGGUACUCGAUGGGUAGGGGUAAAAUCCGUUGAUCCAUUGAAGACCACCAGUGGCGAAGGCGGCUUGCCAGAACGCGCUCGACGGUGAGGGAUGAAAGCUGGGGGGAGCAAACCGG
rnacentral:rRNA from 1 species